GGGAAAAUUCAGCUGGUGGCCCUUCUGGGGCCAGGUCCUCCCCAACCACGCACGGAGGAGGCCGCCGCCGAGCCCUCUGACGCCAGGGCCUUCGGGCGGGCCAAGGGCGCGCAGGGCGCUGAGCCGGCGGGUUGAGCCAGCGAGGGCUUGGACUCCCCGUGGUGUGUGUGCGCGCGCAAGCGCUCCUCGUCUAACCGUUCAGGACAAGUUGAAGCAACAUAAAUAAAGUCGGAUCUCCCAGCCUUGAGGUCCACCCCUCCUCCUUCCUGGUUUGACCCCAGGCCUGGGCCGCUCAGAGCCACGGCGUGUGCAGCCAAGAUUGCAAGCCGCUGCGCGUUACUGCCAGGGGAAGGGCGCCGCCCCCACCCCCCCCCCCACCCCCCCCACCCCCGCCACCAGCGGCCACGACUCGGGAGCCAUCGAGUCAAGGAGGGGCAGGGAUGACCGGAGAACCCUGAGGGGCAGCCUGGCCGCCUCCAAGGAGGUCGGGCGCGAGGACUGGACCGGAGUGGCCCUUCUUUUGGCGUCUCCAACGAGCGGAGAGGCACGAGCCACGGCACGAGCUGGGAGGCAGAAAUGGGGUUUCGCGGUGCCCGGAGGGAUCGCGAGCCCCAGAGGCGUUCCCCGUCUUCAACACGCCACUCGACAGAGGGUGCUCGGGGCGGUCGGGGCCUGCGGCCUGGGUCGCGCUGACCGGAAGUGCAUCUGCGAAGUGUCCUCUGGGCAGGGCGCUGGCCGCCGGGCCGGGCUGGGACAAGGACAAAGUCGGAGUCACCCGGCUGGGGCGGGACGCUUCCGCCCACCGGCCUGGGGGCAGGUGGGAGAGGAAGGAGGAAGCAGACCCCGCUGAUUGUGGAGGGCGGGGGCCCUCUGGAUGGGGAAAAGACGGAACCCCCAGGAACUCCAUCUGAGACCCGGGUGGAGUGCGAUGUGAGAGCAGGAAUUCAGCCCUGACUUGACUAACUUGAGGGGAAGUACAGGGUCGGGGGUGGGGGCUGAGAGCCACUCCUUCUUGAGAGUCCAAAAGACAGAGACUAGCCCUGAACCCAAGUCUGCGCCUCUCCCUACCAUGUGCCAAGCUCUCAGUAUGCUGGAGACUUGAUACUGAGCCUGUUGCCAAGGCGAGUCAGCCUGGCAGUUUACGAUGCAUUAUUACAGUGUAAGUUUUAAUGUGGUUUGGUGUGACUGUGGCAAGACGACCCUGGACCUCACUUUUCUCAUCUGUAAAAUGGGGAUGAUAACAUCCCACUCAAAGAAGGGCGUGCGGCUGAAUUAAGUAAAUUAUGCCAAAUAGCUAGCAGCGUGCGUUGGCAAGUAAAUUAUGAUUAUGUUAUUAUCCAUUUCAAACUUCUGGGAGUGUCUUCUGAAUUGCCUUCAUCCUGUCCAAUGGACAAGUCCCGCCGGUGGAAGUGAAGGGGAGAGGAGGACAGGGUGAGCUCCGCUGAGGUGGUUUCUGGGACUUGCUUUGUCUUCUUCAGCACAUACAUUACCUUCAGCUUGGACAACAUUGCAACUAUUACCGGUUACUUCUCCCCAGCCCCCUGGAGGCCGCCAAGCAGCAGCAGAGCCCCAAUUAGGAAGAAAGGAAAAUGAGGACGGAGGAAGGCAAGAAGGUGGGAAGGUCAGGGCCUUGGCCAGGUUCCCGAGGUAAAGUCAGGUGCUAAGAGUAGAUAUGACACAGAAGAAGACACACAGACACGGACAAGGCACGGAACAAAUAUUUAAAUUCUCCGAGCUUCAGUUUCCUCCACCGGACAAAGAAAAUUCUCUUUGCCCAUAAUGGUUGGGAGAUAAAAGGAGAUAUGGGCAAGAAAUCAAAUUACAUAAUAAUGACACAUCCAUAGACUUCACUAAUACAAUCCUGGGGAGGGGUAACCACCUCGUCCCUCUCCCCCAAGGUUAAGGGGAAGAGCUCUUAGCUUUGACCUCCUGAGAGUGCCGAAAUGGAGCCUUAAGGAAUAGGAUCGUUUCUGGAGUUGUUGCUUGCAUUGGCCUCUACCCCAGCCGCUAGAUCUGGUGGUCUUGAAGUGGCCUCGGGACCCCCAGGGCCACCAUGAAGAAGGAUGCAGAAAGGGUAGCCUCGUUUCCAGGCACUCGAAGGAGAAGGUUCUCGACAGAGCAGGGCGCCCCCAACACCACUUCUGGAUGUGGCUAGAUGUUCUGAGCUACCUGGAGGAGAGGGGGAGGACCGUGGGCUCCAAGUCUCUGACCCUCUAACCUGAAGCCUUGGAAAGUUUGAAGAUCCCAGGCCACCAAGGAAGGCAAAGGAUGUACCUCCAACCCCCAUAAAACCAUGCAUCUGGGCCACCCCAGGGAAGGGCCCAGGCCUCUGCUUCGAAUUCUUCACUCAAGGAUUGACUGAGCACCCAGUAUGUGCAGAGAUGAGUCUCCACACCCCAAGAAGGCGUGAAGGGGGUAAGAGGAAAAAGAUUUACUGCAACAAAGUUGGGAGUCCAUGGCAAUACCACAUCUACUCUCCAACUCCAGGCCACUGAACCUCAAGCCCCCAAACCCUCGAGCAAGGACUCAGAGCCGGCUCAGCACUGUCACCUCCCCAGAUAGAGGCCCAAAUCAGCGGGAAGAUUUUCAAGGAAAAAGGCAGAAUGACGCCACUCUCACUUCUCACAAAAUCAAUCCUACAAAAACAACAGGAAAGAAACCCAAGGGAAGAACACAGAAACAGAGUUCCCAUGCAGACCUAAGCCCCGUAAACAUACCUGCAAGCAUUCUGGUGUGCAAACACAAACGACCACACGAACACACGCCAUGAGCUCACAAACAUCCAAGUGUGCAUCCAAUUACAGAGCAACGAACACUCAGCGAGCACAACAGUCACACAUGCAGGGACACACAAGACCAGGUAGGUACCUAUAUGCACCUGUGUUUGCACAUGAUCACAUACGCACACAAGUUCGCCAGGACACCUACACAUCUAGCCACACACAGGUACAUGCACACAUAUUUCAGAAGACAGGAAGGAGGAGGAAAGGAGAAUUUAUCAUUAAAAACACAAAUCCUGGACAAAAAGAUGAUACCUCUUGAGGAGGGGCCUCUGGUUUCUCCCCCUAGUCCCUGAAUAUAGGGGGCCCAGUGCCUGCCCAGGAGGAUAGGUCCCAGGGGGAAGGGGCAAGAGUGCAGACAUUUCCCUCUAGGACAUCCAAGUGUCCUAAGGGUCCUGGAGGCUUGUGUCUGCGCCCCCCUCAGUCAGGAAGCAAGCCUUUGUUGGUAUUCUGAGAGUGACCCCGCUUAGGUUUGGGGUUUGGACGAGGCAGGCUUGUGCCCACUUGGGAGAUGGCUCAAAGUGAUCCCAGCAGCAAUGUGCUGCUGCUUUGCAUAGCGUCCCAGGAUCCGGGCCUCUUCUCCCUGGGCUAUACGAGACCGUGAGAUCCGGCCCGGAGAGGCUCCUUGUGCCGCCCUGGCCCCGCCGCUUCGCCUACAGAAUCGCUUCUCCGAACUAAGAGCGGUGAAAACCAGGCGGCGGAGAGGCCAGGCCCAGAGGCCAGGCCGAAGAGCCGCUGGCCCUGGUGGGCAGCUUAGCUGGAGGCAGCCCCUCACCUCUGCCCCGCCUUGGGAAGGCCUUCUGCUUCCGGAGGGAAAAACGUCAAGCAAAGCCCGCACCAUGCUGGGAGGGGGACGGGAGGGAAGAAAAGGGCAAGGUGCAGGCCAGAGCGAGGAGCGGAGCAGGUCGAACAAGAGGAGGCCAAAGCCAGGUUGGUCCUGGCCCCGAACCGGGAGCGGCCCGACAGCCCCAGCAGUGUUUCCGGAGUCAGGACUGAGGUUUCGCCUUUCUGGCUCCCUUGGACGCCAUUGGAGACCAGGCGUGGGCCUCCAGACCCUCCAGACCCUCUAGACCCGGAUCCGCCCGGAUCUGGGCCGCCUCUACCACCGCGCGCUCGUCUGGCCCCCGGGAUUCGUUGCGCGCUGGUGGGAAGGCCGGCCGGCCGGUGUGUGCGCGGUGCGCGCGGGAGCCCUGCGCCCGCGCCCUUCCCGAACCCGCAAGGAGGAGGGCCGCCAGCGGCUCGUGAGCACAGUGAACACUUUAUUUCAGACUACAGGUUUCUGAACAUAAUAAAAUCUUUGGCUUGUAGCGGC